rnacentral:rRNA from 1 species
CAGCCGCCGCGGGAAUACGAAGGGGGCUAGCGUUGCUCGGAAUUACUGGGCGUAAAGGGCGCGUAGGCGGAUGUUUAAGUCAGAGGUGAAAGCCCAGGGCUCAACCUUGGAACUGCCUUUGAUACUGGACAUCUUGAGUGUGGGAGAGGUGAGUGGAACUCCGAGUGUAGAGGUGAAAUUCGUAGAUAUUCGGAAGAACACCAGUGGCGAAGGAGGCUCACUGGCUCAUUCUAGACGCUGAGGUGCGAAAGCGUGGGGAGCAAACAGGAUUAGAUACCCCGUAGUCCCUGUCUCUUAUACA